rnacentral:tRNA from 1 species
UCCUGUGUGGCUCAGUUGGUAGAGCAUAGCACGUGCAAUGCAAGGGUAGUGGGUUAGAUUCCCACUGCAGGGC